rnacentral:tRNA from 5 species
UCCUCGGUAGCUCAAUGGUAGAGCAUUCGGCUGUUAACCGAAAUGUUGUAGGUUCGAGUCCUACCCGAGGAGCCA